rnacentral:rRNA from 3 species
GGGUUGUGAGGUUAAGCGACUAAGCGUACACGGUGGAUGCCCUGGCAGUCAGAGGCGAUGAAGGACGUGCUAAUCUGCGAUAAGCGUCGGUAAGGUGAUAUGAACCGUUAUAACCGGCGAUUUCCGAAUGGGGAAACCCAGUGUGAUUCGUCACACUAUCAUUAACUGAAUCCAUAGGUUAAUGAGGCGAACCGGGGGAACUGAAACAUCUAAGUACCCCGAGGAAAAGAAAUCAACCGAGAUUCCCCCAGUAGCGGCGAGCGAACGGGGAGCAGUCCAGAGCCUGAAUCAGUGUGUGUGUUAGUGGAAGCGUCUGGAAAGGCGCGCGAUACAGGGUGACAGCCCCGUACACAAAAAUGCACAUACUGUGAGCUCGAUGAGUAGGGCGGGACACGUGGUAUCCUGUCUGAAUAUGGGGGGACCAUCCUCCAAGGCUAAAUACUCCUGACUGACCGAUAGUGAACCAGUACCGUGAGGGAAAGGCGAAAAGAACCCCGGCGAGGGGAGUGAAAAAGAACCUGAAACCGUGUACGUACAAGCAGUGGGAGCACGCUUAGGCGUGUGACUGCGUACCUUUUGUAUAAUGGGUCAGCGACUUAUAUUCUGUAGCAAGGUUAACCGAAUAGGGGAGCCGAAGGGAAACCGAGUCUUAACUGGGCGUUAAGUUGCAGGGUAUAGACCCGAAACCCGGUGAUCUAGCCAUGGGCAGGUUGAAGGUUGGGUAACACUAACUGGAGGACCGAACCGACUAAUGUUGAAAAAUUAGCGGAUGACUUGUGGCUGGGGGUGAAAGGCCAAUCAAACCGGGAGAUAGCUGGUUCUCCCCGAAAGCUAUUUAGGUAGCGCCUCGUGAAUUCAUCUCCGGGGGUAGAGCACUGUUUCGGCAAGGGGGUCAUCCCGACUUACCAACCCGAUGCAAACUGCGAAUACCGGAGAAUGUUAUCACGGGAGACACACGGCGGGUGCUAACGUCCGUCGUGAAGAGGGAAACAACCCAGACCGCCAGCUAAGGUCCCAAAGUCAUGGUUAAGUGGGAAACGAUGUGGGAAGGCCCAGACAGCCAGGAUGUUGGCUUAGAAGCAGCCAUCAUUUAAAGAAAGCGUAAUAGCUCACUGGUCGAGUCGGCCUGCGCGGAAGAUGUAACGGGGCUAAACCAUGCACCGAAGCUGCGGCAGCGACGCUGAUGCGUUGUUGGGUAGGGGAGCGUUCUGUAAGCCUGUGAAGGUGUGCUGUGAGGCAUGCUGGAGGUAUCAGAAGUGCGAAUGCUGACAUAAGUAACGAUAAAGCGGGUGAAAAGCCCGCUCGCCGGAAGACCAAGGGUUCCUGUCCAACGUUAAUCGGGGCAGGGUGAGUCGACCCCUAAGGCGAGGCCGAAAGGCGUAGUCGAUGGGAAACAGGUUAAUAUUCCUGUACUUGGUGUUACUGCGAAGGGGGGACGGAGAAGGCUAUGUUGGCCGGGCGACGGUUGUCCCGGUUUAAGCGUGUAGGCUGGUUUUCCAGGCAAAUCCGGAAAAUCAAGGCUGAGGCGUGAUGACGAGGCACUACGGUGCUGAAGCAACAAAUGCCCUGCUUCCAGGAAAAGCCUCUAAGCAUCAGGUAACAUCAAAUCGUACCCCAAACCGACACAGGUGGUCAGGUAGAGAAUACCAAGGCGCUUGAGAGAACUCGGGUGAAGGAACUAGGCAAAAUGGUGCCGUAACUUCGGGAGAAGGCACGCUGAUAUGUAGGUGAAGUCCCUCGCGGAUGGAGCUGAAAUCAGUCGAAGAUACCAGCUGGCUGCAACUGUUUAUUAAAAACACAGCACUGUGCAAACACGAAAGUGGACGUAUACGGUGUGACGCCUGCCCGGUGCCGGAAGGUUAAUUGAUGGGGUCAGCGCAAGCGAAGCUCUUGAUCGAAGCCCCGGUAAACGGCGGCCGUAACUAUAACGGUCCUAAGGUAGCGAAAUUCCUUGUCGGGUAAGUUCCGACCUGCACGAAUGGCGUAAUGAUGGCCAGGCUGUCUCCACCCGAGACUCAGUGAAAUUGAACUCGCUGUGAAGAUGCAGUGUACCCGCGGCAAGACGGAAAGACCCCGUGAACCUUUACUAUAGCUUGACACUGAACAUUGAGCCUUGAUGUGUAGGAUAGGUGGGAGGCUUUGAAGUGUGGACGCCAGUCUGCAUGGAGCCGGCCUUGAAAUACCACCCUUUAAUGUUUGAUGUUCUAACGUUGACCCGUGAUCCGGGUUGCGGACAGUGUCUGGUGGGUAGUUUGACUGGGGCGGUCUCCUCCUAAAGAGUAACGGAGGAGCACGAAGGUUGGCUAAUCCUGGUCGGACAUCAGGAGGUUAGUGCAAUGGCAUAAGCCAGCUUGACUGCGAGCGUGACGGCGCGAGCAGGUGCGAAAGCAGGUCAUAGUGAUCCGGUGGUUCUGAAUGGAAGGGCCAUCGCUCAACGGAUAAAAGGUACUCCGGGGAUAACAGGCUGAUACCGCCCAAGAGUUCAUAUCGACGGCGGUGUUUGGCACCUCGAUGUCGGCUCAUCACAUCCUGGGGCUGAAGUAGGUCCCAAGGGUAUGGCUGUUCGCCAUUUAAAGUGGUACGCGAGCUGGGUUUAGAACGUCGUGAGACAGUUCGGUCCCUAUCUGCCGUGGGCGCUGGAGAACUGAGGGGGGCUGCUCCUAGUACGAGAGGACCGGAGUGGACGCAUCACUGGUGUUCGGGUUGUCAUGCCAAUGGCACUGCCCGGUAGCUAAAUGCGGAAGAGAUAAGUGCUGAAAGCAUCUAAGCACGAAACUUGCCCCGAGAUGAGUUCUCCCUGACUCCUUGAGAGUCCUGAAGGAACGUUGAAGACGACGACGUUGAUAGGCCGGGUGUGUAAGCGCAGCGAUGCGUUGAGCUAACCGGUACUAAUGAACCGUGAGGCUUAACCUUACAACGCCGAAGCUGUU